CUUUGGCUUGUUUCCAGACAGAUGAUUUGCAGGACCAUAUCAUUAUCUGUGGAUUUGGACGUGUUGGCCAGAUCAUUGCGCAGCUUCUUUUAGAACGACUUAUUCCAUUUGUUGCUCUUGAUGUGAGGAGGUAUGCUUCCAUCACAAUGAAUUGAUAUUCCUGGAAUAAAGUCAAUUUUGGGGCUGAGAGAGAGAAGGGAUUGCUGAUUGAAUAUUCUGCUGAAAAUCUUAGUCAUAUGAGUGUGGGCUGUGUUCAUUGUCUGACAUGCUGCUCGUAUUCCUGGCCACGAGGUGCUCCAUAAAGUUGGUGCUGAAAGAGCAUGUGCAGCAGCAAUAACUUUAGAUACCCCCGGUGCAAACUAUAGAUCAGUGUGGGCUUUGAGCAAGUAUUUCCCAAAUGUCAAGACAUUUGUCCGUGCUCAUGACGUUGAUCAUGGCCUCAUUUUGGAAAAGGCGGGAGCAACAGCGGUUGUCCCCGAGACCUUGGAACCUAGUCUCCAACUAGCUGCUGCUGUUCUUGCACAGGUAAAAAACAGUGCAUCUUAUUGGAUAUUUUAAUUUGAGUUAGUGACUUGCUACAUGCUUACCUUUAAGUCUCAAUUUAAC